UCGCCUUUAGUUGCCAUCAUGUUUGGGUGGGCACUCUAAAGGAACUGCCGGUGACAAGCCGGAGGAAGGUGGGGAUGACGUCAAGUCCUCAUGGCCCUUAUGUCCUGGGCUACACACGUGCUACAAUGGCGGUGACAGAGGGAAGCUAGGUCGCGAGGCCAAACCGAUCCCUAAAAGCCGUCUCAGUUUAGAUUGCACUCUGCAACUCGAGUGCAUGAAGGUGGAAUCGCUAGUAAUCGCGGAUCAGCAUGCCGCGGUGAAUACGUUCCCGGGCCUU
rnacentral:rRNA from 1 species